GGUGGUGUAGUAUAGUGGAUAGUACAACACGUUGUGGUUAGCUAAUCAUAUACUGAUACCGUGUAAACCUGGGUUCGAUUCCCAGCACCGCCA